CCUUAUUGACUUUGUAGCUGUCAAUUGAACAUGAUUUCAACGCACUUUUAGGACUUCUUGACUGAGUUUUUAAUCCUGUCACGCAAUGCACAGAUAAAGACCAUCUGAUAUGGGGGAAAGUUCCAGAAUAACAGGUUGACGAGCCCGAGGACGCACUCCAAGGUGCUGAGAACAGUGGAGACAAUCAGACUCCGCUGGUAAUCCCUCAGCUGCUCGCAGGCAGGGUUCACAACCACAGAGUGGAAGCAGUAAUGGGAAUAUUUCCUCUCCACCAGAGAAGCCGUGUCCCCGUCCACCACCGCGCCGGAGAAGGCGGUGAGAACUCCCAACAAGAAGACCACAACACCGAGGAGAAAGAAAUUCCUGCAGCCGGGCUUCUCCAUGCAAAAGAGCAGCGCGGAGCCCAGCAAGACCUGCCCGACUCCCACAAGUAGCCCGGAGUAGAAAGCCCCGGCCGCGGACCCGAGGUGGAAAUGCGCUUUCACCGUAGAUCCCAACGACACGCAUCUUAAUCCAACGACAACUUCGCUCAGGGCGCACACGAAGAGGAGGGUGCUGGAGAAGACGGUGCACAGUCCUUUCCCACUCAACUUCAUUAUAUUCCACCUCUGCCGCUCUCGAUCCCUCUGCCACCUUCUUCAUCCUCCUUCGUCUCCUCUGGAAGCACUCUCACUCUGGGACAUCAUCUGCCGGUGACUCCUCCGGUUCAGAGCGGGCAAUCCUCACCGCUGUGGCGUCUCUCUCGCAUCCCAGCCGCUUUACAGGAAUAUAUAAAUAACUAAUGCCAAGGACGCGUUCCUUUUUUCCACUUAUCGAUAAUCCACUCGCAAAGAUCACUUUACCCCAGAUCACCUAACCGCCCAUCAGACUCUGGAAGCAUUCUCCUGACCAAAAGUUGUUUCCUUUUUUUCUCCUGCUGAACGGAGUGUCUCAUCCGCAGUCCGCCAAGUCGUCGGAUUGAUGAUGUGUGGCGUUUUUGUGGCAAAGAAGGAGGCGGCUGCUUGAGCCUGAGAUGCUUGAGGGUCCUUUGGACCAAUGACCAAUGACCCACAGGCCUUCAAAUCACUGAAACACCCCUAUACGGAGACUUUAAAUGUGUGCAAGGUGCCCCGAAAAGGUGGAUGUUUCUGUAAAUCAUAACAAAAGAAAUUAAUAACAGAGCAGCGCUGCUGAGGAUGGACGGAGGCUAGGCGCUGUCCGUGGUGCUGAAACAUCCAGGACAGAUGGAAGCUGACUGGACUCCUCUACAUCCUUCCUCCCCCCCCCCAAAAAAAAAAAAUUACACCAGGUAUAUGUGAAUGUAGGAGAAGGGGGGGGUGUUCAGUGCCCAAAUCGCCAUCGUCAAAUGGAGAUUCUGAGGGACACAGACUAUCAGAGAGAAAAAUCAAAUGAAGCCCAGGUGUUACAGGGAAGAUUACUGUUUGGAGAAAUUCUGUUUAGUCCCACAACAACAAUGUACAAGGACAUGCAGUGAGUCAUCAAAAUACAGCCCACAGUCUGAAAGUAAAGAAAAGUCAUUUGAGUAUAAUGUCCAAUAUGUUUCCUAUUAAAAGAGAAAGGAGCAGGUAGACGGCACAUAUGUUUCAUAAAUUUCUGGGUUUAAUAUCUGUUUUUGUGGAACAUUUCAGAGACAGAUAUGGAGAUUUUGUUUUGUCCCAAAGUUCACAUUUUACCUUUAACAAAUGCUGGAUAGGGGAGAUUAGGACCAGAUCAGAUUGGGUCAGAUUGGUACCAUGAAUCUAUGUCACAUUACAAUGUGUCAUGGCAAUUCAUCUCAUGGCCGUUGAGAUAUUUCAGUCUGGAUCAAAGUGGUGGACCGACCAAAAGAAUCACUUUCCAUAGCCAAACAAAAGCCCAUCAUAGAGCCUGAGGUAGCCAAAAACAUGACAAAUGACAGAAUAAGAGGCAACCAUCUGAGAAAAGUUCAAGGAUAUGUAAAAGUAUCCCAGCGUUUGACCUGCUGGCAAGUUGUUGGAUUUGAUUUAUUUCCAAUUCAUUUACCCUAGAUGUGAAAACAUUCAGAGGACAAGCGCGUGUUUUUGACUUAAUGAACCGAACGUUUGAUGGGUGCAGGUGAGAGAAUUACACCAGGGAAAUCCCUCGUCCACCCAUUUAUCACAAUGAGCCACCUCAUUGACUGUACCAGUACAGCUGCCAGUAAGUGUGUGUGUGUGUGUGUGUGUGAGCCUGAGUCUAAUUAGGUUAUUACCACUUUGCGGAGGUUUGCAGAUAAGAGAAGAUGCUGUGAAUGAUGAGUUGAUGAUCUGCUGAUUGGUUGAUUGAUUGGCAGUCCUGCUUGCUGGCAGUUGGUGUCUCUGCCAGUGUGAGUUGGUCUAUUGGCAGCGCUGUUGAAGUCAACACCAUCAACAGCAACAAUGAGACUGACACCUCUCAUCUUUUGGCCCAUUCAGACCAGACUUCAGCAGGAAAAGAAACAGCCCUUCUGUUACAGUAUUGUAUAAUGUCCACACUUUGCUGAUCAGCAGAUCGAAUUUUCACAUUUGUUGUUAUAAAAUGUGG